rnacentral:rRNA from 1 species
GAUGAACGCUGGCGGCGUGCCUAAUACAUGCAAGUCGAACGCUUCACUUCGGUGAAGAGUGGCGAACGGGUGAGUAAUACAUAAGUAACCUGGCAUCUACAGGGGGAUAACUGAUGGAAACGUCAGCUAAGACCGCAUAGGUGUAGAGAUCGCAUGAACUCUAUAUGAAAAGUGCUACGGGACUGGUAGAUGAUGGACUUAUGGCGCAUUAGCUUGUUGGUAGGGUAACGGUCUACCAAGGCGACGAUGCGUAGCCGACCUGAGAGGGUGACCGGCCACACUGGGACUGAGACACGGCCCAGACUCCUACGGGAGGCAGCAGUAGGGAAUUUUCGGCAAUGGGGGAAACCCUGACCGAGCAACGCCGCGUGAAGGAAGAAGUAAUUCGUUAUGUAAACUUCUGUCAUAGAGGAAGAACGGUGGAUAUAGGGAAUGAUAUCCAAGUGACGGUACUCUAUAAGAAAGCCACGGCUAACUACGUG